UUGACUUAUUUUAUAAGUUACUCAGAGAUGCCAAAUGAUACGAGAGUUUAGUGUACCUCUGGCCGGCUGCCUACCCCGAAGGGAGGGCGCGGCAUCCCCUAGGGGAGCCACCCGCCGAAGCAACGGUAACGGUAAGGUUAACAAUGGUUGGGAGUUUUGCAACUCUGUAAUGAUCCCUCCGCUGGUUCACCAACGGAGA
rnacentral:misc_RNA from 1 species